GCCGAAAUAGCUCAGUUGGGAGAGCGUUAGACUGAAGAUCUAAAUGUCCCUGGUUCAAUCACUGGUUUCGGCA
rnacentral:tRNA from 1 species